rnacentral:rRNA from 1 species
GAUGAACGCUGGCGGCGUGCCUAAUACAUGCAAGUCGAGCGAACGGACGAGAAGCUUGCUUCUCUGAUGUUAGCGGCGGACGGGUGAGUAACACGUGGAUAACCUACCUAUAAGACUGGGAUCACUUCGGGAAACCGGAGCUAAUACCGGAUAAUAUUUUGAACCGCAUGGUUCAAAAGUGAAAGACGGUCUUGCUGUCACUUAUAGAUGGAUCCGCGCUGCAUUAGCUAGUUGGUAAGGUAACGGCUUACCAAGGCAACGAUGCAUAGCCGACCUGAGAGGGUGACCGGCCACACAGGAACUGAGAACCGGCCCAGACACCUACGAGAGGCAGCAGCUCAGAAUUUUGCGCUGGAGGCGACAGCCAGACGGAGCAUCGACGCGUGAGUGAUGAACGGCUUCGGAGGGUAAACCUCUGUUACUAGGGAAGAACAUAUGUGUAAGUAACUGUGAACAUCUUGGCGGCACCGAAUCAGAAUACAACGGCAAACUCCGU